GAUGAACGCUAGCGACAGGCCUAACACAUGCAAGUCGAGCGGCAGCACCUCGGGUGGCGAGCGGCGCACGGGUGAGUAACGCGUAUGUAACCUGCCCAUGAGUGGGGGAUAGCCCGGUGAAAACCGGAUUAAUACCCCAUGAUACCAUUGUCUGACAUCAUUUAAUGGUUAAAGAUUCAUUGCUCAUGGAUGGACAUGCGUUGGAUUAGCUGGUUGGCGGGGCAACGGCCCACCAAGGCGACGAUCCAUAGGGGUUCUGAGAGGAAGGUCCCCCACAUUGGUACUGAGACACGGACCAAACUCCUACGGGAGGCAGCAGUGAGGAAUAUUGGUGCAUGGGCGGAAGCCUGAACCAGCCAGUCGCGUGAAGGAUGAAGGUAUUAUGUAUUGUAACUUCUUUAGCUGUGGAGAAAUAAGGUGGUCGAGACCACCGAUGCUAGUACACAGAGAAUAAGGAUCGGCUAACUCCGUGCCAGCAGCCGCGGUAAUACGGAGGAUCCGAGCGUUAUCCGGAUUCAUUGGGUUUAAAGGGUGCGCAGGCGGUGCCUUAAGUCAGCGGUAAAAUCGUGGGGCUCAACCCCAUCCCGCCGUUGAUACUGGGGCACUUGAUUACGGUCGAGGCAGGCGGAAUUCGUCGUGUAGCGGUGACAUGCAUAGAUAUGACGAAGAACACCGAUUGCGUAGGCAGCAUACCAGGCCGUUAAUGACGCUCAUGCACGAAAGUGCGGGGAUCGAACA
rnacentral:rRNA from 1 species